GGGAAAACGACGACUGUCAAGCCGCGGAGUGUGUGCGGUGCGCUUGUGUGUGUGUGCGUGUGUGGGGUUUGCCGGUUUGGUGGAAUUCCGUUGCGGUUUUUGAAAUUUGGUAAUCAGCUGAUUGGUGCGAUGGGCGUGAUUGUGAUGGUGGUGUAUUAAUUGCCACGCAUGGGGGAAUUUGUACUGCCAGCAGGUAGUGGUGUGAUGUCCUCGAAUAGUCCAGUGUGUAAUCGAAAUAGAAGCUAAUAAGAAUCGUGUUGAAAACGUUACCUGGCCCAUAUGAUAUAACGAAGGAACGACGCAUAUGUACUUGCAGCUACGAUUACUAUGUCCUUUACGACGCGAUGGAAAAACUUCCUAGCAUUGCUACUCCGGAUACGAUUCCAGCUAAAUCAAACCGUUAAUUCCGCCUGGAGGGGUCCUCGGUCCUAGCCUUUCGAAGCUCUCCGAAGCCGCCCAGAGCCGACGGAGCUGCUUCUGGCUUUGCCCGAGUCAUUCGUAAAGGAUACGGGAUUUUGGAAUGAAUGGGAAUAAGCAUUCUGUAUGCAUAUUUCACCCUUUUCCGUAUCAAGAAACGAUAAAAAAAAGGAUACGAUCCAUCGCUUGAUAAUCCAACACAGCGUUUGUUGACAGCUUUUGCUAGCCUCAGGUAGAUGGCGCUAGCCCAAUACUAAAUUACGCUAUCGAAAACGUCCUGCAUACCCACGAUUACAGGAAUAUAUAAAUAGAUCAUUUAUGCACUGAAAGAGGAGCGAUUGUAGUCAGUAGGUUACAUGCAUACAAUAACAAAAUGACUUGGUGAAGUCGCGUAAUGCUUUAUGGAACAUUCAAACAUUUAAAAGUCUGUAAAUGGUAUUCGUAGUACGAAGUAUCCCGAAAUCUUUCUCUCUUUCGAAACCUCCAGUCAACGAGAUCGCUAAAAGCAAUGAUGCGGACUGGGAAGAUGAUAAGGCAGUCCAGCACAGGUUAUGUCUUUCAUCCCCUACGAUCAUUCAGCCCAAGAGGCAGGCUGAAAAUAACAUGUGGCCGAAGGACUACUGAAGGACGUUGAAGAAUCGUACCUCAAGCUAUUCCUAAGUAUAUACACAUAAAACUAUUCGAAGAAAUCAACUCAACUGCGAACUAGUUUUGGAUGUAACAUGUAGCACAAUACAGGAAGAAAUGCAACACCCUGUGUCGGUUUAGUUCAUUUAUUGUUUGUACCGGCUGGUUCGGUUGCACUAACACGCUAUCAGAAAGGCUAAUAAUGUCCUCAGGAUGAUGCGGAAAAAUUGAAGAAUAAAUGUUUCAAUUCAUACCGUCUAUGCACUAAUCUAGUGUAAGUGUAAUGCCAAGAGCCUCAGCGCCCUAACCAGGCAGCUGCACGCACCGUCAUCCCUCCUCGCCCUCUCGCCCAAAACGGACAGGCAGGCUUAUGCUCUUUCUCGCUCUCUCUCUCUCUCUCUAGUUACGUUAGGCUAUCUAAAAAAUAUUGAAGUAAGAUAAAAUUCUCCUUCCAUAAACGCACCCUCCUUGCAUGUGGAAAGGAAUUUCUCACACACACGCGCAAUCAUCCUGUGCCGCCGAUCCAUCCGCUGGUCCAGUGUUGCUUAGUGGCGUUUCUUAAGUAACCCUCCUUGAGGCGGUCCAGAUUUGGCCGUUCUAACUGUCUUUCGAGCGAAGCAAAUAAUGUGAAUAGCUUUAUAUGUAUAUAUAUACUCUCUCUCUCUCUCUUUCUCUCUUUCCAAGCUUUGUGGAAAAAUAAAAUAUCUGUUAUACAACAAGAAACAUAAACAAGAAACAAAUCCUCCUUCCUCCUAGCUCGAUCGCAUCUCUCUCUCUCUCUCUCUCUCUCUCUCUCUCUCUCUCUCUCUCUCUUGCGCACACUCACAUAUACACA